UACGUAGGGGGCAAGCGUUGUCCGGAAUUAUUGGGCGUAAAGAGCGUGUAGGCGGUCCGGUAAGUCAGCUGUGAAAGUCAAGGGCUCAACCCUUGAAAGCCGGUUGAUACUGUCGGGCUAGAGUCCGGAAGAGGCGAGUGGAAUUCCCGGUGUAGCGGUGAAAUGCGCAGAUAUCGGGAGGAACACCAAUGGCGAAGGCAGCUCGCUGGGACGGUACUGACGCUGAGACGCGAAAGCGUGGGGAGCAAACA
rnacentral:rRNA from 1 species